rnacentral:misc_RNA from 1 species
AAGUCGUAACAAGGUUUCCGUAGGUGAACCUGCGGAAGGAUCAUUAAUGAAUUUUAGGACGUUCUUUUUAGAAGUCCGACCCUUUCAUUUUCUUACACUGUGCACACACUUCUUUUUUACACACACUUUUAACACCUUAGUAUAAGAAUGUAAUAGUCUCUUAAUUGAGCAUAAAUAAAAAUAAAA